CAUGCAAGUCGAGCGAUUUCUCUUCGGAGAAAUAGCGGCAAACGGGUGAGUAACACGUAAACAAUUUUCCUUAAAGUCGAGGAUAGUGUCACGAAAGUGGCAGUAAUACUGGAUGUGGUUUUUGAAUCGCAUGAUUCUUAAACUAAAGGCAGGGACCUUCGGGCCUGUCGCUUUUUGAUGAGUUUGCGUCCUAUCAGCUUGUUGGUGGGGUAAUGGCCUACCAAGGCAUUUGACGGGUAGCCGGCCUGAGAGGGCGAUCGGCCACACUGGGACUGAGACACUGCCCAGACUCCUACGGGAGGCUGCAGUCGAGAAUCUUUCGCAAUGGGGGAAACCCUGACGAAGCGACGCCGCGUGCAGGAUGAAGGCUUUCGGGUUGUAAACUGCUUUUGUUAGGAAAGAAUUGUUUAGUGUUAAUAGCACUAAAUUUGACGGUACCUAACGAAUAAGCCACGGCCAACUCCGUGCCAGCAGCCGCGGUAAUACGGGGGUGGCAAGCGUUACUCGGAAUUAUUGGGUGUAAAGGGCAAGUAGGCUGUUUAGUAAGUGAGGGGUGAAAUCUCCCGGCUCAAUCGGGAAAUUGCCUUUCAAACUACUAGACUUGAGGUUGGAAGAGGAAAGCGGAAUUAGCAGUGUAAGGGUGAAAUCUGUAGAUAUUGCUAAGAACACCGACGGCGAAGGCAGCUUUCUGGUCCAAAUCUGACGCUAAAUUGCGAAAGCUAGGGUAGCAAACAGAAUUAGAUACUCUGGUAGUCCUAGCUGUAAACGAUGAGUACUAGGUGUCGGGCUUUUGCUCGGUGCCGUAGCUAACGCGUUAAGUACUCCACCUGGGGACUACGGCCGCAAGGCUAAAACUCAAAGGAAUUGACGGGGACCCGCACAAGCGGUGGAACAUGUGGUUUAAUUCGAUGCUACGCGAAGAACCUCACCAAGGCUUGGCAUGCUCGUCGUAUUCUCUGGAAAAGGAGAAGUCAGUUCGGCUGGACGAUGCACAGGUGCUGCAUGGCUGUCGUCAGCUCGUGUCGUGAGAUGUUGGGUUAAGUCCCGCAACGAGCGCAACCAUUGCCCUAUGUUGCCACCCUAUCGACUUCGGUUGGUAGGCGCACUCUUAGGGGACUGCCUGGGAUAACCAGGAGGAAGGUGGAGAUGACGUCAAGUCAGUACGGCCCUUAUGCCUUGGGCUACACACGUGUUACAAUGGACGAUACAAAGGGUUGCCAACCCGCGAGGGGGAGCUAAUCCCAAAAAGUCGUCCUCAGUUCGGAUUGGAGUCUGCAAUUCGACUCCAUGAAGCCGGAAUCGCUAGUAAUGGAAGAUCAGCUCGCUUCCGUGAAUACGUUCCCGGGUCUUGUACACACCGCCCGUCAAGCGAUGAAAGCUGGAGGUACCCGAAGUC
rnacentral:rRNA from 1 species